ACGAACGCUGGCGGCAUGCCUAACACAUGCAAGUCGAACGAGACCUUCGGGUCUAGUGGCGCACGGGUGCGUAACGCGUGGGAACCUGCCCUUAGGUUCGGACUAACUCCCCGAAAGGGGUGCUAAUACCGGAUAAUGUCUUCGGACCAAAGAUUUAUCGCCUUUGGAUGGGCCCGCGUUGGAUUAGCUAGUUGGUAGGGUAAAAGCCUACCAAGGCGACGAUCCAUAGCUGGUCUGAGAGGAUGAUCAGCCACACUGGGACUGAGACACGGCCCAGACUCCUACGGGAGGCAGCAGUGGGGAAUAUUGGACAAUGGGCGAAAGCCUGAUCCAGCAAUGCCGCGUGAGUGAUGAAGGCCUUAGGGUUGUAAAGCUCUUUUACCCGGGAUGAUAAUGACAGUACCGGGAGAAUAAGCUCCGGCUAACUCCGUG
rnacentral:rRNA from 1 species